CCUACGGGAGGCAGCAGUGAGGAAUAUUGGUCAAUGGGCGCGAGCCUGAACCAGCCAAGUCGGGUGAGGGAGGACGGCCCUACGGGUUGUAAACCUCUUUUGCCGGGGAGCAACGGGCGUCACGUGUGGCGCCACUGAGAGUACCCGGAGAAAAAGCAUCGGCUCACUCCGUUCCAGCAGCCGCGGUCAUACGGAGGCUGCGAGCGUUAUCCGGAUUUAUUGGGUUUAAAGGGUGCGUAGGCGGGAUGCCAAGUCAGCGGUAAAAAUGCGGUGCUCAACGUCGUCGAGCCGUUGAAACUGGCGUGCUUGAGUGGGCGAGAAGUAUGCGGAAUGCGUGGUGUAGCGGUGAAAUGCAUAGAUAUCACGCAGAACUCCGAUUGCGAAGGCAGCAUACCGGCGCCCUACUGACGCUGAGGCACGAAAGCGUGGGUAUCGAACAGGAUUAGAUACCCCUGUAGUC
rnacentral:rRNA from 1 species